AUUAAAAUUCCUCACAAAGUUGAAACAACUUAAAACUUUUCUGUUCGGUUAACGAUUCAAACGGUUAUAAUUGUACAUGGCUUAGAAGUUAAGAGUAAAUACUGCUUUCUUAAUUAUGAUUUUUGAGUAAAUGUUUUUUUCCGAGCUCCGCAUGUGGACGUCAUGACGUCAUGACGUCUUCUCUCUAACCUGAACGACGUUGACAGAAAAUUCUGUUCAAUAUGGCUGCCCUUCUCGAGCGACUGGAGAACACAUUUGGAGAAACUUGUAAGUAAAACUGAACCUUCGUUAUGUUUAUUUUUUCCGUAAAAAAGCAAGUAUAUUAAUAUGUUGCAGCCAAUAACUUGUUUUCGAAUGCGCUGUUGUGUUAAAAAGCACAGACCCAGGUGGUGAAUAGUUGUUCGCGGUUGUUCGCGCUCUUUUUCAAACAUAGAUUAUGUCAUCAGUUUUACAGUUUUAACCGAUUAAAACACAGUUUUACGAAGAAUCACACAUAAAGAAAGGGUCUUAGUGAUAUUUUAACGACCCCUUGCCAACGCAAGAAAGUUGGCGUUUUUACAACAGCAGCCUCAUUGUUCGGCAGGUUUUUUUUUUUUUCUUCUCAUUAGCAUCAUUCAAAAGUGACUUAGCUAGCAGUGGCAACUUCUAUCUAAAACAAUUGAAAUAUAGCAAGGUGUUGUAUAUUUAGUGUGCUGAUAAGGUUUUCAAUAUUUUUAUUUUUUCUUCCAAGGCUGAAGGCCAAAGACAAAAAGACAGAAGAAAAAAAAAUUCAGACUGCAAUUAAUUUCAGGUGGAGACAGUAAACACAGGAGGCGCCUGAUAUCAACGUGAAACGCACUGCAGUACUUCGUGCCCUUCCUGUAUACCUGCGGGAGGAGGACCCAGAAUUCUUUUAGACAUGUAAUGCGGACGCAUUGGAUGAGUCGACCCUCAUUGACACUCCAGUUGCCCUUCUCACAGUGGUUACCGACGGCGCUUCCCAGUCCAGUCCAUUUUACUUCCUCAAGCAUGGCUGUUUUGGUGAAAGGUGACUAGGUGAUGCGUGAUAUUCCCAGAUUUGCAAAUGCAUUUGCUUUAUUGUUUGGCUUGAUCUAUGCUCUGCAUUUAGACUACCCCAGGAAGCUGGUUCACACAUUUGCCUUAGUCCAAAAUAUCUUCAUGGGGCUUGAUGACGGCAAACCCCUGAAACCCCUGCCUACAUGCUCUUAAGGAAUAUAAGGCAAUGUUUGUUAGGACACGCACUCUGUUACUGAGC
ensembl:lncRNA